UAAAUAUCAGAUGUUUGUUUACACGAUAACUUUGUCUAAAAAGUUCUGGUGCUAAAUCAAAAGGAUUAGUGCAGUUACGAAAUUCUCUCUCUCUCUCUGAAAUGCUCUGUUUUCGGCUUCGAACAGCAAAAAUAAAUCGAUGGCAUCCAUCUUUGUUUUAGUUUACAGCAGCUAUGUAGCUGAGGUAAACUACAAUAAUGACAAUUACAACAAUGACGUCACAAUCCAACCGUACAACGUCAUCGCGGUAGGACUACGAAAAUACUACUUUUCAUGUACUUUAAGGUAUCUUGUUACGCUUCGCCCCCAAGGGAACUACUGCGCGGUACUAGGACCUCGAGAAUGGCUGCCUAAAUCAUAAAUGUAAAACAUUUGUCCUUACAUUACUUUGUUUAAUUGAAAAAGAAUUUUGCUUUUUUCGUAAAUAAUUAUAAUUUCAAUUGGGAUUUUGCUAUGAAUACGAAAUACAAGAUACUCUACUUAAAAUAAAAUUAAACAAUUCGAAUUUGUUUAAAAAUUUUUAUCUCAUCCUUAAAUAAUUAAAAUGUUAACCAAAAUUACUUUCGUAGUUUCAAAAAUAACGGAACAUUUUAUUUUCAAGUAUAUUAUCGAUCAAUUUAUGAAAAAC
rnacentral:lncRNA from 1 species